UACGUAGGGACCAAGCGUUGUUCGGAUUUACUGGGCGUAAAGGGCGCGUAGGCGGCGUGACGAGUCACUUGUGAAAUCUCUGAGCUUUACUCAGAACGGCCAAGUGAAACUGUUGUGCUAGAGUGCAGAAGGGGCAAUCGGAAUUCUUGGUGUAGCGGUGAAAUGCGUAGAUAUCAAGAGGAACACCUGAGGUGAAGACGGGUUGCUGGGCUGACACUGACGCUGAGGCGCGAAAGCCAGGGGAGCAAACGGG
rnacentral:rRNA from 1 species